rnacentral:lncRNA from 1 species
GGAAAGCUGAAACGGAGGAUGGUUUGAGGUGAUUGUUCUGAGAACAGCAGCUACAGCGGUUAUCACAGGAGCAGCAGCAGGAAAGCCCAGAGAACAGGGCUCGUUCCCACCGUCUAUCCUCAUCCCCCACUUCAUCCCCCUCUUCCUCCUGCCACAGCCCCGUGUCCAAGGAGGUGGACUUCAUCUGGAAACUUCCGGAUCUUCGUGAACCGUCGCGAGACAGCCACCGAUUGGACGAUGACAGGGAGGGGACGGGGGACAGGAGGGAUAUCAUCUCAGGUGUCAUGACUGCCUUUCCCAUGGCAACCGCAGUGUUUCUGUGUUCUGCAAAGUGGGAGACAUCAGCAUCUGACCACGCCUUCCUGGAGAAGGAGUUCCGCCUCUGCCGGAGCGUCAGGUCAGUCAGGGGGCGGGGCUCGAAGGAAGGGCCGAGCGGGGAGGGGGUGUGGGGGACGCCACCUCUCCGGAGGGCAGAGUGGGAGACAGAGGGCAGGGAGGAGGGCAUCUGGACAGACACAGACCGGCCUGACCUGAAAGCACCACUGUGGGGGACGAGUGGAGUUGGGGCUUGAGAUGGAGCUACGGUUAAGGAAUGGGCUGAUGGCGAGUUUGGAAUUGAGGAUGGGGUUGGUGUUGUGGUUAGGGCUGAUAGAGAAUGGUUUGGGAUUGGGGAAUGGGCUUGGGUUGGAGAUGAGCUGGAUGCUGCCGGAAAAGCUGAGGCUGGAGGUUGGUGUGGCCACGAGGCUGGGGAUGGAGAUGGUGGUGGGGAUGGAGGUGACACUUGCUCUGAAGGUGAGGUUAAAGCUGGGCCUGGAGGUGGGUCUGUCGAUGGGUCUGCUGGUUGAUAUAGUGGUGGGACAGGCUCUUGGACAACCAAGCUUGAGGAUCCCUCUGAAAUCUUUGAGCCACCUGUUUCCCAGUGCACUGGGGGGAGGGAGGCAGAGAGAGGCUCUGCUGGGGGGAGAGAGGAGGCAGGGAGAGGCUCUGCUGAGAAGUUAGGGUCAGAUCCUAAUAGAGGAUCUUCAGAGUACCGGUCCUGACAAACAGAUCCAGUCUCAGAGCCUUGAUUCACCACCUCAGGAACAGCAACAGGACCCAACACUGGACCUUCCAAACCAGAACUAAUCUGUACUUUCGUCUUCAUCUCUGUCUCUUUCUUCAUCUGCACCAGAGCUACCGAGUUCAUCCGAGAGCCUUCAUGUGACCCAUAACAAUCGGUGUCCUGAUCACCAACAGCCUCUGUUCCUGUCUGAACAUUGCCACUUUGUUCCGCUAUGUCCUUUUCCUCUCCUCCUAUUGGAACAGCUUCCUCUGAUUCCACAGUAAAGUGUUCUGUUUCUCUAUCUGUUUUCAUGAUAAUAAUAACGUGCCGUAACGGAGAGUCUGGCUUAUGACAAGGUGAACCGCAGGCCGAAGAGAAUCCAUCUUCCUCAGUGACAGUGUUUUCCAUUAGGCUUGGCCUGGCUCCAAAAGCAGAGUUAGUCAUCUCCAAGGCAUCAGAGAGGGAGUGGGGUGUGGGGGAAUCCUGGUGUCUGGGUGUCUCCUCUGUAGGGCUUGUUGUCUCUGGUCUGUAUAGAGGAGACUCGGGUCUUGGGUGGCACAUGGAGAGGGAAGGAGGGGAAGGGUCCAGGGAAGUGGAUGGGGGGGACGAGGGGGGUGAAGCUCCUUUUACAGUGAUCUGGCUGUCAGUGCUGCCUCCAAAUAUUCCCGACAAAGCCUUUAAACAACAACCAAACACUGUCAGUUUAAAUUAAUGAAUGACCUCUUAAAUUGUGCACCAUGAAAUAGACAG